UGUGAAUCCAUAGCAAGAAGCAAAGGAAACUCUCCUCCUUGGAUCAACAGUCCCUGGUGAGGAAUCCAUCCAUUCAACUGGCUUGAUCAAUGAGCCAUUACAGAGGAUUCACUGGCUGGACCAUA